rnacentral:misc_RNA from 1 species
GAUGAAGAACGUAGCAAAAUGCGAUAAGUAAUGUGAAUUGCAGAAUUCAGUGAAUCAUCGAAUCUUUGAACGCACAUUGCACCCGCCAGUAUUCUGGCGGGCAUGCCUGUUCGAGCGUCAUUUCAACCCUCAAGCACAGCUUGGUGUUGGGACUCGCGUUAAUUCGCGUUCCUCAAAUUGAUUGGCGGUCACGUCGAGCUUCCAUAGCGUAGUAGUAAAACCCUCGUUACUGGUAAUCGUCGCGGCCACGCCGUUAAACCCCAACUUCUGAAUGUUGACCUCGGAUCAGGUAGGAAUACCCGCUGAACUUAAGCAUAUCAAUAAGCGGAGGA